CCUACGGGAGGCAGCAGUGAGGAAUAUUGGUCAAUGGACGAGAGUCUGAACCAGCCAAGUAGCGUGAAGGAUGACUGCCCUAUGGGUUGUAAACUUCUUUUAUAUGGGAAUAAAAUGUUCCACGUGUGGGAUUUUGUAUGUACCCUAUGAAUAAGGAUCGGCUAACUCCGUGCCAGCAGCCGCGGUAAUACGGAGGAUCCGAGCGUUAUCCGGAUUUAUUGGGUUUAAAGGGAGCGUAGGUGGAUUGUUAAGUCAGUUGUGAAAGUUUGCGGCUCAACCGUAAAAUUGCAGUUGAAACUGGCAGUCUGGAGUACAGUAGAGGUGGGCGGAAUUCGUGGUGUAGCGGUGAAAUGCUUAGAUAGCACGAAGAACUCCGAUUGCGAAGGCAGCUCACUGGACUGCAACUGACACUGAGGCUCGAAAGUGUGGGUAUCAAACAGGAUUAGAUACCCUUGUAGUC
rnacentral:rRNA from 1 species